UACCAGCACCCCGAGUGGUCGGGACGAUUAUUGGGCCUAAAGCAUCCGUAGCCGGUUCUACAAGUCUUCCGUUAAAUCCACCUGCUUAACAGAUGGGCUGCGGAGGAUACUAUGGAGCUAGGAGGCGGGAGAGGCAAGCGGUACUUAGUGGGUAGGGGUAAAAUCCGUUGAUCCAUUGAAGACCACCAGUGGCGGAGGCGGCUUGCCAGAACGCACUCGACGGUGAGGGAUGAAAGCUGGGGGAGCAAACCGG
rnacentral:rRNA from 1 species